rfam:Myotis davidii contig311660, whole genome shotgun sequence.
GCCCAUGUGGUUCAGUGGUAGAGAGAGCAUCAGUCUGCACUCUGAAGGGUCGUGGGUUCAAUUCCUUGUCAAGGGCA